CAGUCGCCGCGGGAAUACGGAGGGGGCUAGCGUUGUUCGGAAUUACUGGGCAUAAAGCGCACGUAGGCGGAUCGAUCAGUCAGGGGUGAAAUCCCAGAGCUCAACCCUGGAACUGCCUUUGAUACUGUCGAUCUGGAGUAUGGAAGAGGUGAGUGGAAUUCCGAGUGUAGAGGUGAAAUUCGUAGAUAUUCGGAGGAACACCAGUGGCGAAGGCGGCUCACUGGUCCAUUACUGACGCUGAGGUGCGAAAGCGGGGGGAGCAAACAGGAUUAGAGACCCCAGUAGUCCCUGUCUCUUAUAC
rnacentral:rRNA from 1 species